CCUGCCUGCCCUGGGAUGCGCUUUCCGUCGGUCUCUCUUCCUGAGCAGUCUUCAAAGUCUUGGAUUUCUGUGACUGUGUCAUUAAAAGGAAGAACAUUUGUUGCUUGUGUGAAUUUGUUGGGUGCACAAGAAAGCCCUCUCCUGUUGAGCCUUACGCUUCCAUGUUUGACCAUAAGGCGACGUUAAGAAAACCAGCAAGUUGUGAUGAUCUGGAAGAAGAUGAGAAAUUCAGCUCACAAAUGGAUAUAGUUACUUCGAAGAAUUUAGUUC